rnacentral:rRNA from 1 species
GUUAAGCGACUAAGCGUACACGGUGGAUGCCCUGGCAGUCAGAGGCGAUGAAGGACGUGCUAAUCUGCGAUAAGCGUCGGUAAGGUGAUAUGAACCGUUAUAACCGGCGAUUUCCGAAUGGGGAAACCCAGUGUGUUUCGACACACUAUCAUUAACUGAAUCCAUAGGUUAAUGAGGCGAACCGGGGGAACUGAAACAUCUAAGUACCCCGAGGAAAAGAAAUCAACCGAGAUUCCCCCAGUAGCGGCGAGCGAACGGGGAGCAGCCCAGAGCCUGAAUCAGUGUGUGUGUUAGUGGAAGCGUCUGGAAAGGCGCGCGAUACAGGGUGACAGCCCCGUACACAAAAAUGCACAUGCUGUGAGCUCGAUGAGUAGGGCGGGACACGUGGUAUCCUGUCUGAAUAUGGGGGGACCAUCCUCCAAGGCUAAAUACUCCUGACUGACCGAUAGUGAACCAGUACCGUGAGGGAAAGGCGAAAAGAACCCCGGCGAGGGGAGUGAAAAAGAACCUGAAACCGUGUACGUACAAGCAGUGGGAGCACGCUUAGGCGUGUGACUGCGUACCUUUUGUAUAAUGGGUCAGCGACUUAUAUUCUGUAGCAAGGUUAACCGAAUAGGGGAGCCGAAGGGAAACCGAGUCUUAACUGGGCGUUAAGUUGCAGGGUAUAGACCCGAAACCCGGUGAUCUAGCCAUGGGCAGGUUGAAGGUUGGGUAACACUAACUGGAGGACCGAACCGACUAAUGUUGAAAAAUUAGCGGAUGACUUGUGGCUGGGGGUGAAAGGCCAAUCAAACCGGGAGAUAGCUGGUUCUCCCCGAAAGCUAUUUAGGUAGCGCCUCGUGAAUUCAUCUCCGGGGGUAGAGCACUGUUUCGGCAAGGGGGUCAUCCCGACUUACCAACCCGAUGCAAACUGCGAAUACCGGAGAAUGUUAUCACGGGAGACACACGGCGGGUGCUAACGUCCGUCGUGAAGAGGGAAACAACCCAGACCGCCAGCUAAGGUCCCAAAGUCAUGGUUAAGUGGGAAACGAUGUGGGAAGGCCCAGACAGCCAGGAUGUUGGCUUAGAAGCAGCCAUCAUUUAAAGAAAGCGUAAUAGCUCACUGGUCGAGUCGGCCUGCGCGGAAGAUGUAACGGGGCUAAACCAUGCACCGAAGCUGCGGCAGCGACGCUUAUGCGUUGUUGGGUAGGGGAGCGUUCUGUAAGCCUGCGAAGGUGUGCUGUGAGGCAUGCUGGAGGUAUCAGAAGUGCGAAUGCUGACAUAAGUAACGAUAAAGCGGGUGAAAAGCCCGCUCGCCGGAAGACCAAGGGUUCCUGUCCAACGUUAAUCGGGGCAGGGUGAGUCGACCCCUAAGGCGAGGCCGAAAGGCGUAGUCGAUGGGAAACAGGUUAAUAUUCCUGUACUUGGUGUUACUGCGAAGGGGGGACGGAGAAGGCUAUGUUGGCCGGGCGACGGUUGUCCCGGUUUAAGCGUGUAGGCUGGUUUUCCAGGCAAAUCCGGAAAAUCAAGGCUGAGGCGUGAUGACGAGGCACUACGGUGCUGAAGCAACAAAUGCCCUGCUUCCAGGAAAAGCCUCUAAGCAUCAGGUAACAUCAAAUCGUACCCCAAACCGACACAGGUGGUCAGGUAGAGAAUACCAAGGCGCUUGAGAGAACUCGGGUGAAGGAACUAGGCAAAAUGGUGCCGUAACUUCGGGAGAAGGCACGCUGAUAUGUAGGUGAAGUCCCUCGCGGAUGGAGCUGAAAUCAGUCGAAGAUACCAGCUGGCUGCAACUGUUUAUUAAAAACACAGCACUGUGCAAACACGAAAGUGGACGUAUACGGUGUGACGCCUGCCCGGUGC